AUGACCUGGGCUCUUCUCCUCCUCAGCCUCCUCAGUCAGGGCCCAGGGACCUGGGCCCAGAAUGCCCUGAUUCAGCUUUCCUCCGUGUCCGGGAGUCAGGGACAGACAGUCACCAUCUCCUGUACAGGAACCAGCAAUGACAUUGGGGGAUAUAAUGCUGUCUCCUGGUACCAGCAGCAGGAGGGCACAGCCCCCAAAAUGUUGAUUUAUAACGUCAAUAAGCGGCCAUCAGGGAUCUCUGAUCGCUUCUCUGGCUCCAAGUCUGGCAACACAGCGACCCUGACUAUCUCUGGGCUCAAGCCUGAGGACGAGGCUGAUUACUACUGUAGUUCCUACAGAAGUGCUAACAAUCUCACAGUGGUUCACGUUCAUAGGGAAUUUAAGAACUCUGUACUACAAAUUCAGAACUGCAUUCAUAGCUACCAGAGUAGAGCAGACAGACACAAUGAGGAUGCGGUGUACAAGUCCAGCAAGAUUAAUGAACUAGGUUGGUGA